rnacentral:tRNA from 1 species
GGAGAUUUAGCUCAGUGGUAGAGCGCUUGCCUAGAAAGUGCAAGGCCCUGGGUUCGGUCCCCAGAUCCA